rnacentral:rRNA from 1 species
AACGAACGCUGGCGGCAGGCUUAACACAUGCAAGUCGAACGUGAAAGUCCCUUCGGGGGCGAGUAAAGUGGCAGACGGGUGCGUAACACGUGGGAAUCUACCUUUGAGUUCGGAAUAACACAGGGAAACUUGUGCUAAUACCGGAUACGCCCUACGGGGGAAAGAUUUAUUGCUCAAGGAUGAGCCCGCGGCCGAUUAGCUAGUUGGUAGGGUAAUGGCCUACCAAGGCAAUGAUCGGUAGCUGGUCUGAGAGGAUGAUCAGCCACACUGGAACUGAGACACGGUCCAGACUCCUACGGGAGGCAGCAGUGGGGAAUAUUGGACAAUGGGCGAAAGCCUGAUCCAGCCAUGCCGCGUGAGUGAUGACGGCCUUAGGGUUGUAAAGCUCUUUUAGCGGGGAAGAUAAUGACGGUACCCGCAGAAAAAGCACCGGCUAACUCCGUGCCAGCAGCCGCGGUAAUACGGAGGGUGGCUAGCGUUGUUCGGAAUUACUGGGCGUAAAGCGCGCGUA